ACUUUAUGAUGGAAUUUAUCCUAAAAAAGUGAGGGGAGUACACAUAAGAAGAAAAGUAACUGCACUAGCUUGCAAAGCUGGGGUGGGCCUCUUUCUUAAUGGUGUCUUUUGUCUUAAGAUUGGCUACAAUAUGU